rnacentral:rRNA from 1 species
ACGGAGGGUGCAAGCGUUAUUCGGAAUUACUGGGCGUAAAGCGCGUGUAGGCGGUCCUGCAAGUCUGAUGUGAAAGCCCCGGGCUUAACCCGGGAAGUGCAUUGGAAACUGCAGGUCUUGAGUACUGGAGAGGAUGGGGGAAUUCCCGGUGUAGAGGUGGAAUUCGUAGAGAGCGGGAGGAAUAGCAGUGGCGAAGGCGCCCAUCUGGACGGUAACUGAUUCUGAGACGCUAAAGCGUGGGGAUCAAACAG